rnacentral:rRNA from 1 species
GAUGAACGCUAGCGACAGGCUUAACACAUGCAAGUCGAGGGGCAGCAUAAAAGUAGCAAUACUUUGGUGGCGACCGGCGCACGGGUGAGUAACGCGUAUGCAACCUACCUAUCAGAGGGGGAUAACCCGGCGAAAGUCGGACUAAUACCGCAUAAAACAGGGGCACCGCAUGGUGAUAUUUGUUAAAAAUUUAUUGCUGAUAGAUGGGCAUGCGUUCCAUUAGGUAGUUGGAGAGGUAACGGCUCACCAAGCCUACGAUGGAUAGGGGAACUGAGAGGUUGGUCCCCCACACUGGUACUGAGACACGGACCAGACUCCUACGGGUGGCAG